GAAUGUAACAAAAACCAAACAUAUUGCCAAAACAUGAUUAAAUCAUAUGUACGAGUGGCCGCUUUUCAAUUUCUCUCUUUUCAGAUUUUCCAGGAAGGUUCUAUGGCUAAAGGUGGGCACAUCCAACCGCAAACAAAACUUUGUGGCCAGAUACUUCUUUGAGGCUGUUCAAGAACAGGGUGGCUGUCCUCAAAUGAUUCGGGGGGACAGAGGAAAGGAGAACCUUGUUGUUGGUCAAAUGCAGAUGGCAUUUCACAUGCGAGAUCUUGGGAA